UGGGAUUGAGGACACGUGCCUAGUACUCU
rnacentral:piRNA from 1 species